UACGUAGGUGACAAGCGUUGUCCGGAUUUACUGGGCGUAAAGAGCGCGCAGGCGGUCGAUCAAGUCGAGUGUGAAAGCCCCCGGCUCAACUGGGGAGGGUCAUUCGAUACUGAUCGACUCGAAGGCAGGAGAGGGUAGUGGAAUUCCCGGUGUAGUGGUGAAAUGCGUAGAUAUCUGGAGGAACACCGGUGGCGAAAGCGGCUCACUGGACCGUCUCUGACGCUGAGGUGCGAAAGCUAGGGUAGCAAACGGG
rnacentral:rRNA from 1 species